rnacentral:rRNA from 1 species
CAAUAGCGUAUAUUAAAGUUGUUGCAGUUAAAAAGCUCGUAGUUGGAUUUCUGGUGGGAGCGAUCGGUCUGGCGCUUAGCGCGAGUACUUGCAUCGUCUCCGGCCAUCCUUGGGGAGAGUCUGUCUGGCAUUAGGUUGUCGGGCAGAGGAUCCUCAUCGUUUACUGUGAAAAAAUUAGAGUGUUCAAAGCAGGCUUAUGCCGUUGAAUAUAUUAGCAUGGAAUAAUAAGAUAGGACUUUGGUACUAUUUUGUUGGUUUGCGCACCAAAGUAAUGAUUAAUAGGGACAGUUGGGGGUAUUCGUAUUCCGUUGUCAGAGGUGAAAUUCUUGGAUUUACGGAAGACGAACUACUGCGAAAGCAUUUACCAAGAAUGUUUUCAUUAA